CUGUACUUUGUGUAUGCCGACAUGCUGUAAUUUGUUAGUACUUCAAGAUCAAUAAUGGAAAAUUGUAUCCAAACUGAAGUAUAAUUUGACGAGCCUGGUUGCUGUAGCCACAGGGGAAUUUUCAAGGACAAGAACCAGUGCUGGUAAAAAUGUGGUCUCAUGUGGUUUUCCAUACCGGCAUUCAGCAAGGAUUUCAGAGAAAGGAAUACUGUCUCCAAAUCAUGAUGUGCCAAUAAGCUCCAGUUAGCUGUGCCUUUUUCCUCCCACCGGUAGUCCUUCAAUCUGAAUCCAGGAGAUGCAGCUCUGAAUCCAAUAUUUCAGAA